AAACAUUACCAAAAAAAAAAAAAAUCCAUUAGUCAAUUUGCAGUUCCUUGAAUUUGGGAUAGAACAUUACAACUGGUUGCCAAGAUGCUGAGACAAUUGCAAAGAAACUAAGAGCUUAGGAGACUAGUGCUCUAGAUUCCCUAACCGGCAAACCAAUAAUACUUGAUGGAUGAGCAUCUAAAUAGUUUAAGAGAAUUCUGAUUAAUCAAAUAACUAAAUAAAAGCACUACUACACUUGAUGAAAAAAUUUGGGACCAAAUCUACUGCUACAAUUUUUUAUGACAACAGACAAAACACAAAAGGAAACCACUAUUCUUCAAAUUCAUCAAAGCCAACUUUUUUUUUCCUACAAUAGACUCGCUCGAACUCGAGACUAAAGCUCACUGGUAAACCCAACUGAUAUUAAUACAAGCAUUAAGUUUACCAUUCCAAGCCUGCAGUCAUUAAAAGGGGAAAAAAAUAUAAUGAAUAUAAAAUUCCAAAAUUUCAUUUCCUUCACCUUUUUUUCCUUCUCUUAGUCACCCGACAGUUUUUAAGGGGGAUAAAAAAAACAGAUUUGCUCUCUUCUAGCCAUAUUUUAUCAAACCGAGCAAAAUAGGAAAGCAAGAAGCAAA
rnacentral:misc_RNA from 1 species